CAGGGGGUUGUGUAGACGGUAACUUGUUAGAAGGUUACUUGUUAGUUCAGGACCUCAUUACUUUCUGCCUGAACUAUUGCAGUAGCCUCCUAACUGGUUAUCCCACCUCCAUUCUUGCCCC
rnacentral:pre_miRNA from 14 species